rnacentral:rRNA from 1 species
GCGGCGGACGGGUGAGUAACACGUGGGCAACCUGCCCGCAAGACCGGGAUAACUCCGGGAAACCGGAGCUAAUACCGGAUAACACCGAAGACCGCGUGGUCUUUGGUUGAAGGGCGGCCUUUGGCUGUCACUUGCGGAUGGGCCCGCGGCGCAUUAGCUAGUUGGUGAGGUAACGGCUCACCAAGGCGAAGAUGCGUAGCCGGCCUGAGAGGGUGACCGGCCACACUGGGACUGAGACACGGCCCAGACUCCUACGGGAGGCAGCAGUAGGGAAUCUUCCGCAAUGGGCGAAAGCCUGACGGAGCGACGCCGCGUGAGCGAAGAAGGCCUUCGGGUCGUAAAGCUCUGUUGUGAGGGAAGAAGGAGCGCCGUUCGAAGAGGGCGGCGCGGUGACGGUACCUCACGAAGAACCCCCGGCUAACUACGUGCCAACACCCGCGGUAAUAC